rnacentral:rRNA from 1 species
GGUUUUUUAUCUGGCUCAGAUUGAACGCUGGCGGCAUGCCUUACACAUGCAAGUCGAACGGCAGCGCGGGAGCAAUCCUGGCGGCGAGUGGCGAACGGGUGAGUAAUACAUCGGAACGUGCCCAAUCGUGGGGGAUAACGCAGCGAAAGCUGUGCUAAUACCGCAUACGAUCUACGGAUGAAAGCAGGGGAUCGCAAGACCUUGCGCGAAUGGAGCGGCCGAUGGCAGAUUAGGUAGUUGGUGAGGUAAAGGCUCACCAAGCCUUCGAUCUGUAGCUGGUCUGAGAGGACGACCAGCCACACUGGGACUGAGACACGGCCCAGACUCCUACGGGAGGCAGCAGUGGGGAAUUUUGGACAAUGGGCGAAAGCCUGAUCCAGCCAUGCCGCGUGCAGGAUGAAGGCCUUCGGGUUGUAAACUGCUUUUGUACGGAACGAAACGGUCUUUUCUAAUNGGUNAAGGCUAAUGNAGGNACCGUUAAGGUGUACCCA